UAAUUCUGCAUACAGACAGAAUUCAACGCUUUUCAAGUUUUUGUCACACGCAUAAUAAGAUACUUCAGUACUGUACAGUGAAAUGCUUCUUCGCCUGCUUCAUAGAUUGUGUUCGACGAAAUGCGCAAUACAAAGAAAACAGCAAACCCGUAAUUACAGGCUGUAGUAAUAGUGUAACCCUGAGCACAGCAGGGAGGGGUGGUUGUUGUUGGGGUCAUGAGGCACGUUCAUUGCUGUGGAGUUCCUCAACAACGUCAUCAGGUGUAGAUGGAAGGAGCAGAAUAAGGGGAGCAAGGAAAUCUAAAUGAAAACACACGAAGAACAAAUCUGAAGACCCGUGACUCUUAUUUUCCAAUCUGUUGCUUUGUAUAAAGCAGAGAGAUGGAAAAUGAGCAGGAUAAAAAUCAUAACAGUUGCAGGUGAUGAAAAUCGAUUCCAUCUUCCAGCAGCUUAUUCAGCACGAAGUGUUUGAGAGUCUGGGGCCUAAUCGAAGAAGCAUAAGGCAUGGGGGACUUCCUGGAUGGGAUGUCAGUCCGUAACAGGACACGCACUCACUCAUUAUGGGCAAUUUAGAGGCUCCAAUUCUCCUAUCCACGUAUUUCUGGACUGCAGGCAGGGACCCAAUGAGAACAUGCAAUCUCCACAAAACACAGAGAGAGAGAGAGCAGAAUUCAAUUACUGUGAACUGCAAAUGGAGAAUCAAUGGAGGUAAAAGCUGAAACAAGGAAACUAAAACCAAGUAGGGGAAAAUCCAUUACUGUUAAAUGAACAUUAAGCAGGAAUCCACAAGGACAAUCAGAAGAUAAGACAUUUGGUGAAGGCAGAUCAUACAGGCAAGCAGCACAAAACUGAAUGGGAUGGAAAUGUUUGAACCAAUCUCCUGUGUCCUAUGCACUGACACUUGGAAACAGAGGAAAAAAAUACAUGCAUCCCAUCAUUUAUAAUCUAUUGUGAAUGCCAAUAAAAGUAGCUUUUAUCAUGCGUUAUAAACCACUAAUUUGUUUAACGUACUUAGAUACAUUAUUGCUUCACAAUGAAUUAAAUCAGACAGUGUUUAACAUUCUCUCCCACAGUGAGUUUCAAAGUCUGUUAAAUGGACUGACAGAGCCAAAUACGCCAGACGCAUC